ensembl:lncRNA
AUGAGCCUUAAUUUUUCUCUAGUGGUCUCCAUCAUAAUUAAAACAGAACGUGAUCUGCUUUUAUGCUUCCUUCUCAGCCUUUUGGACUGCUCAAAUGCUGGUUUCCCUAGGCUUCUUCACGAAUGUGCAAGAGCACAUGUGCCAGGAACACUACCUGCUUGCCCGGACACUCAGACCCCACCAGAACUCCACACCACCACUGAGGUUUCCAAUCAGCACCUCUUCCCAGGAGCAGGACCACCACCUCUCAGUCCCACAGCCACUCCAAGUAAGUCUUGCUCUUGCAGAUCACUUCUCUGGUGUUUUGGGAUGGGUACCAUGCUAAUGCCAGUGGACAAGUGGCAUGGGCUGAGGGCUCUUCACCUCUUUCACCCAUCCACACUGAAGAGGCAAGGGCAGAGGGACUUCAUCUUCUCUUUGAUCAGCG